AUGGCAUCUCUGUGAUGCGCAAGUGUGGGACAUGAGCCGGUGCGUGCGAGCACGGGUGCACUUCGCAUGCUCCCACUAUUUUUCGCUGCGUGCUGAACUCAAAGCGCGUCGUGUGCUCCUGUCGUGUCUCUCUCCUGCCAGCGCGGGCAUCAUCUCAGCAUCUGAAUGCAGGCCAGAGAAGAACGAACACGCUUUUCAUCCGCCCCCUCCCGUUCACGUCCGCAGCGCGCUAUUCGCUGAGAAGGCGCCAGCAGGUGGCGUUCUGCGCAUCGUCGAUCUCUCUUCCUCCGAGCUCCGUCGCACGCAUUGCCUCUGUGCCGUUGCGUGUGUCUGUCCACUGCCUGCAGGCACACAGACACAUCUACAUCGAUACAUGUGUGUGCGUGUGUGUGCGUAUGCGCGAGGGCGCGCAGUCACGUGUGCUACGUGCCCUGGUGUACAAAUGGCCUGCUAGUGACGCUCUUUCGCGUUUCCUUCCCCCCCCCCAUCUUCGUUGAUGCGUGGCAGUGAUGGCGAAAGUGUGGGUGUGCGCACCGCUGUCCCCGGGUGGUCGAAUGAUCGUUCCCUCACCCUUUUCGCACCAUUUUUCGCGCUUGUCUAUCCCUCCUGUAUAGGGGGAUGUCUCUCUGCACAUGUGUCUGCUUUCUCUGGCGCCUCGUCCGCUCUCCCCCCUCUUCGCCGAUUGCCGCUGUGACACCGCCAACAACGAUUCUCGAGCUCUGGCACUCGCGUCAGGCUGUGAAACAAGGGAAAGGGUGAUGUGUCAGCUACUCAGCGCAUCUUCUUGUCUUCAUCUCUCUCUCUCUGCUUGUGCCCCUGAUGACGAGGAGGACCGCCUGAGUGCGUGGCAUCCAGAAUGCAGCACCUCCCAAACUCUGUGCCAGGCAGUCAAUCAGCCCCUCACCCUACCCCUUAACCCUGCCGAUGCUGAACCACCUCUGGUGGUGACAAGGUCAAGCACCAACGGGCUGGGGAGGCCAGGGCGAUGUAUCGCUGCUGAUGUUGGCGUUCAGGUCCUGGCUGACGUGGCGUCGGCGGGGCCGGCGACCGUGCACGCGUUUCUCUCACUUAUAUAAUGCGCGAAGUGUCAGGGGAACUCGAGUGUACCCCACGCCCCGCCCUCGCGCUGCGUGCUGGUGUGCGGAGCCGGCGUGUCACCCCGAGGAGGGGGAUGCACCAGGGGGUGGCGGCCGGCACAGUGGGAGCGGCUGCUAGGAGGCGGGUGAGCUGAGCUCGAGGCAGGGACCGUUCGCUGAGAUAACGGAGUCGGCGCAUGGCUGUGGCGCGUGUGUGUCGGCGGCUGCCGCCGCACCACGCAGAGAGGGGUGGGGCCUGUGAGAGACCAUUUGGGUAUAGUGGCGUUUG
rnacentral:misc_RNA from 1 species